ACUGCCAGGGAUCCAGGGGCAGCCACAGCUGCUCUGGGCACCCUGUGCCAGGGCCUGCCCACCCUCACAGGGAACAAUUCCUUCCCAAAAUCCCAUCUAACCCUGUCCUCUGCCAUCAGGAAGCCAUUCCCUUGUCCUGACACUCCAGGCCCUUGUCCAUCUUUUUUGUAGCUUCCCUCAGGCCCUGGAAGGCCACAGUUACAUCACCCCAAGGCCUUCUCCUCUCCAGGCUGGACAAUCCCAGUUCCCUCAGCUUUUCCUCACAGCAGAACUGCUCCAUCCCUCUGAUCAUCUCUGAGGUUUGAGAAAGAGAAGGCAAGGAAGGCACAUCCAUCCCUCUGAGGCAAUUGCAAAAGACUGUAUGUGUCAGCCUCCAUCUAUGUAAAUACCAGCAUUUUUGGAAAGUGGAGAGGGAAUUAAAUGUUUUUGGGUUUUAUCCUCUUUUUGCCCUCUUUUUUGAGACAUGGCAGCACUGAUUGUUGUUACAGGAAUAUACUGAAUCAGCCACUGCGGGCAAUUAACUCAAUAAAUGACUACCAGGGGGAUGCUCUGAUGCUGUUUCCAUGUGAAUCCAAGAUCUGUGAAAAGCUGGAAGAGCACUCGGCAGGACAGUGCUGAAAGUGGGGAUGUGUUCCCAGAUUCACCCACUGACACAGACCCAUGAAGCUGAAGGGUAACAAAUUCCAGCACAGCAAGCAUAAUCUGGCCCUGGUUGGGUGUAAAGCCAGUAAGAAUCCAGGGUAAAAAACUGCUGCACUCAAUAAAAAUCACCUUUCCAAAUA